rnacentral:lncRNA from 1 species
CUUACUUACUAAUAACACAUUAUUAGUUUUCAUUUUGUUUCAUCUUCUAAAUGGGUUCUAAAGCAGCUCUAAUUCAAUGCUCAAAUUACAUAGCUUUUGUAUUUUCUAUGUCAAAAUUUCGGAUAAUAAUAUGUGUAUGCUGCAAUGCAGUUAGAAAUGGCUACACUCUGCAGGCAAGCUUCUAUAUACCAAUACUUGUAAUAUGGUUAUUUGUGGACAACAUUCCGUUAUUUUCAUGCACCAAGAUCAUCUGAUUUGCACAGGACCAACUGCACACAAAUACUUAAUUUGGUUCACAGUUUCAUAAUUCCCUCCCACGAUUCUGAAGCAACUAGUUCGUAUAUGCCGACUCAGAUAAAUGUGCACUAACAAAAUACGCCUGAACAAAAGUAUAAAAGAGUUAUUGACAACGCACUAGGUGUUGCAAGCAAGAGUUCUAUACUCAUAUGAUUGCUGCAAUUUGCUAGCAAAUAUAUAAUUAUUUAUUAAUUGUAAUAUGGUUAUUUGUGGACAACAUUCCGUUAUUUUCAUGCACCAAGAUCAUCUGAUUUGCACAGGACCAACUGCAGACAAAUACUUAAUUUGGUUCACAGUUUCAUAAUUCCCUCCCACGAUUCUGAAGCAACUAGGUCGUAUAUGCCGACUCAGAUAAAUGUGCACUAACAAAAUACGCCUGAACAAAAGUAUAAAAGAGUUAUUGACAACGCACUAGGUGUUGCAAGCAAGAGUUCUAUACUCAUAUAAUUGCUGCAAUUUGCUAGCAAAUAUAUAAUUAUUUAUUAAUUUGGAAUAGGCACAAACAAUUCAUACAGUACACAUAGUUUCUCCCAUCUAGCUUUCCC